GGGUGUUGAAAGUUUACUCCUUCAAGAGAAGACUAUAGCCUUGUGUCCACUUUGAUUACUGUGAGCACAAGCAGUUUUGGUAAAUUAAAAGAGCUAGGCGCAAUAUUUCGUUUUUGUAGAAUAUGCCUGGAUAAAAAGCUCAUACUAAGAAUUUCGUUCAAGAAAAAAACCUUUAUAAGAAUAAAAUAGAUGGCCAUGUGAGAUUUUUCCUUUAUCUAAAAAAUAAUAAAAUAGCUUAUAAGGAGGCUGCAACAGGGAUAGUGCUAAGCGGGGAAAAAGUAAAUUGGGUCUCAUAAAAAGGAUAUGAGGGUGAAAAACACAAUAUUUUUAUUUUUUUCCCCAAAAGAUACGCCAUUUAGGAAAUCAAGUGAAAUAAUUCCUACCCGCAAACUUUACUUAAAGCAUUUCAACCAUAGGAUUUAUCAUCCAACUAUUCUAGAUUAUUUUAUUUUGUAAGAAAAUAUUGUAUCAAUAGUAGUAAUGCUA
rnacentral:lncRNA from 1 species